rnacentral:rRNA from 1 species
GAAUUUUGGACAAUGGGGGCAACCCUGAUCCAGCCAUCCCGCGUGUGCGAUGAAGGCCUUCGGGUUGUAAAGCACUUUUGGCAGGGAAGAAAAGGCUCUGGCUAAUACCUGGAGCUGCUGACGGUACCUGCAGAAUAAACACCGGCUACCUACGUGCCAGCAACCGCGGUAAUACGUAGGGUGCCAGCGUUAAUCGGAAGUACUGGGCGUAAAGCGUGCGCAGGCGGUUUGGCAAGAAGGAUGUGAAAUCCCAGGGCUUAACCUUGGAACUGCCUUUGUGACUGCAAGGCUAGAGUACGGCAGAGGGGGGUGGAAUUCCGCGUGUAGCAGUGGAAUGCGUAGAUAUGCGGAGGAACACCGAUGGCGAAGGCAACCCCCUGGGCCUGUACUGACGCUCAUGCACGAAAGCGUGGGGAGCAAACA